rnacentral:sRNA from 1 species
AAAAAAAAAGGCAAAAAAGAAAAAAAAAAGGGAAGAGAGAAA